rnacentral:rRNA from 1 species
UAACGGCGAGUGAAGCGGGAACGGCUCAAACUUGAAAUCUUUGUUGCUUGCAACAACGAAUUGUAGUCUCGAGAAGCGUUUUCAAGGCGGAUGGCCGGCGCCCAAGUUGCUUGGAACGGUACAUCAGAGAGGGUGACAAUCCCGUGCUCGGCGUUGACCACCGCUCACGAUGCGCUUUCGACGAGUCGGGUUGCUUGGGAAUGCAGCCCAAAACGGGAGGUAAACUCCUUCUAAAGCUAAAUACUGGCACAAGACCGAUAGCGAACAAGUACCGUGAGGGAAAGAUGAAAAGCACUUUGAAAAGAAAGUUAACAGUACGUGAAACCGUUGAAAGGGAAGCGCAUGGAAUUAGCAAUGCGCUGUCGAGAUUCAGGCCACGGGCGACGGCCACGGGAGUUGCGCUGAUCCGAACGGACUGUCGGCUCCCGUUGACCGGCUCCGCUGGUCGCACUUCCCGGCAGCGUGCGUCAACAAAUGUCGGAAGCGGGCGAAAAGCCUCGCGGGAAGGUAGCCGGCCUCGGCUGGUGUUACAGUCCGUUUGGGUUAGUUCGUUUUUAACAGAGGUGGUGCGGCACACGCCUUUUUUCAAGGGCUGGCCUCGCUCGCCCCGGUUCUUCGUCGACCAGGGCUCACUGCGUGCAGUGGGUUCGAACCGCUUGGGACCGUCGGCGGGACGAGCGCACACGAUGUGCCAAGGUUGUUGGCGGUCAUAUGGUUUCAUACGACCCGUCUUGAAACACGGACCAAGGAGUCUAACAUGUGUGCGAGUCUUCGGGUGAGCGAAACCCAGUGGCACAAUGAAAGUAAAGGCUCGCAAGGGCUGAAGUGAGAUCUCGACGCUGUCGUCGAGCGCAUCAUUGACCGACCUAUUCUACUCCUAGAAAGGUUUGAGUAAGAGCACAUCUGUUGGGACCCGAAAGAUGGUGAACUAUGCUUGAGUAGGGCGAAGCCAGAGGAAACUCUGGUGGAGGCUCGUAGCGAUUCUGACGUGCAAAUCGAUCGUCAAACUUGGGUAUAGGGGCGAAAGACUAAUCGAACCAUCUAGUAGCUGGUUCCCUCCGAAGUUUCCCUUAGGAUAGCUGGGACUCGGUUUGCAGUUUUAUCAGGUAAAGCGAAUGAUUAGAGGUCUUAGGGUUGAAACAACCUUAACCUAUUCUCAAACUUUAAAUUGGUAAGAGGCCCGACUUGCUCAAUUGAAGUAGGGCACAGAAUGAGAGUUCUUAGUGGGCCAUUUUUGGUAAGCAGAACUGGCGAUGCGGGAUGAACCGAACGCCGAGUUAAGGCGCCUAAAUCGACGCUCAUCAGACCCCACAAAAGGUGUUGGUUGAUCCAGACAGCAGGACGGUGGCCAUGGAAGUCGGAAACCGCUAAGGAGUGUGUAACAACACACCUGCCGAAUCAACUAGCCCUGAAAAUGGAUGGCGCUCAAGCGUCGUGCCUAUACUCGGCCGUCGGAGCAAGCGGCUAGGCUUCGACGAGUAGGAGGGCGUGGGGGUCGUGACGCAGCCUUUGGCGCGAGCCUGGGUGAAACGGCCCCUAGUGAAGAUCUUGGUGGUAGUAGCAAAUAUUCAAAUGAGAACUUUGAAGACCGAAGUGGAGAAAGGUUCCAUGUGAACAGCAGUUGGACAUGGGUUAGUCGAUCCUUAGAGAUAGGGAAACUCCGUUUUAAAGCGCCCCAUCGGCGGGCCGAACGUAUCGAAAGGGAAUCGGGUUAAUAUUCCCGAACCGGAACGCGGAUAUUCUACCGCCUCGGCGGAACAGAUUUGCGGCAACGCAACUGAACUCGGAGACGUCGGCAGGAGCCCUGGGAAGAGUUCUCUUUUCUUGUUAACGGCCUGACACCAUGGAAUCUGAUUGCCA